rnacentral:rRNA from 1 species
CGGAUUAGUGGCAGACGGGUGAGUAACGCGUGAGCAACCUACCUCUUACAAAGGGAUAGCCUCGGGAAACCGUGAUUAAUACCAUAUGACACAUUCAUAAGGCAUCUUAAGAAUGUUAAAGCUACGGCGGUAAGAGAUGGGCUCGCGUCCCAUUAGCUAGUUGGUGAGGUAACGGCCCACCAAGGCGACGAUGGGUAACCGGCCUGAGAGGGUGAACGGUCACAUUGGAACUGAGACACGGUCCAAACUCC